rnacentral:lncRNA from 1 species
CAUUUUCAUAAUGAAAUGGUAUAAUAAAUUAACUAUAUUUUUAUAUCUGGAAUUUCUUUGGAAUACCAUAGGGCGUACCCAUAAAUCUUCUAGGGUGCACACUUUGAGAACCACUGGUUUAAUCUAUAUUUUAUAUGCUUACUCUACUCUGUAUUUUGGAACUGUACAACUUUUAAUAAUAAUUUUUAUUAUAUAUAUGUUACGGGUAAAGUCUGAACUUGGAUAAUGCCAACUUUAUCUGGAUGAUAAUGAUUUUAUUUAAAAUACGUGGAUAAUGUUUAAUAAUAAGUGAUUGCUUAUUAUUUUUUGAUGAUUAGCUGGAUAAUACUAACAUUAUCCAUUCACUCUUGGAUAAUGUUAUGUUCGACAUAUGAAGAAAUAAUUGCAUAAGCACAAUUUUUGUUUAUUGGCCUUGUGGCUGUAUACCUGUGUAGACAAUCAAGAUUAGGUGACAGAUGAUAGAUACAGUAGAUUUGAGAAUUGAGGCAAGGAGGCAUUACAUAUGGCCAGUCAAAGUCUCCAAUAAUUCCAGCCCAAAUAUCAAUGCAGAUCUGAUGUUGAGAGGAAGUUGCACUUGAGGACUUUUCUCAGCUCACAAAUGGCUAUUGUGGCUAGUCAAAUGUCGCUCGUGAACAAAACUGUUCCCAGAAAAUCAGCAUCUUUGACAGUUUUUCAAUGUAGUGGAGAUGAAGCGCAAUUCAGCUAACAGGAUUGGCUCGAGUCAAACAUCUAAGAUGUAAAAACUCAAAAUUCACAUCCUGAAGAGAGUACAUUGAGGACAGAAACUGCUUAUCUUGUUUCUAUUACCCUUGAAGUUUGACAGUAAAGUUUUUGAUCACACUAUUAUAAUUUCUUAUAUAUGGUAAAUUUUACUGUCUUAUUAUUUUUGCAUUUCAGUUCAG